ACUAAGUAGCUAAUAAGGUCACAAGCAUUAGCCUUUUAAGCUAAAAUAGGUGCCCACCAACCACCCUUAGUA
rnacentral:tRNA from 1 species